rnacentral:rRNA from 1 species
CCUACGGGCGGCAGCAGUGAGGAAUAUUGGACAAUGGGGGCAACCCUGAUCCAGCCAUGCCGCGUGUGUGAAGAAGGCCCUCGGGUUGUAAAUCACUUUCAGUGAGGAAGAACGCCUGGUGGUUAAUACCCAUCAGGAAAGACAUCACUCACAGAAGAAGCACCGGCUAACUCCGUGCCAGCAGCCGCGGUAAUACGGAGGGUGCGAGCGUUAAUCGGAAUUACUGGGCGUAAAGCGCGCGUAGGUGGCUUGAUAAGCCGGUUGUGAAAGCCCCGGGCUCAACCUGGGAACGGCAUCCGGAACUGUCAAGCUAGAGUGCAGGAGAGGAAGGUAGAAUUCCCGGUGUAGCGGUGAAAUGCGUAGAGAUCGGGAGGAAUACCAGUGGCGAAGGCGGCCUUCUGGACUGACACUGACACUGAGGUGCGAAAGCGUGGGUAGCAAACAGGAUUAGAUACCCGAGUAGUC